rnacentral:rRNA from 1 species
UACAGAGGGUGCGAGCGUUAAUCGGAAUUACUGGGCGUAAAGCGUGCGUAGACGGUUACGUAAGUCGGGUGUGAAAGCCCCGGGCUCAACCUGGGAAUUGCAUUCGAGACUGCGCAGCUAGGGUGCGGAAGAGGGAAGCGGAAUUUCCGGUGUAGCGGUGAAAUGCGUAGAUAUCGGAAGGAACAUCAGUGGCGAAGGCGGCAUCCUGGACCGGUAUUGACGCUGAGGCGCGAAAGCCAGGGGAGCAAACGGG